UGGAAACGGGGUCUAAUACCGGAUACUGACCCGCUUGGGCAUCCAAGCGGUUCGAAAGCUCCGGCGGUGCAGGAUGAGCCCGCGGCCUAUCAGCUUGUUGGUGAGGUAAUGGCUCACCAAGGCGACGACGGGUAGCCGGCCUGAGAGGGCGACCGGCCACACUGGGACUGAGACACGGCCCAGACUCCUACGGGAGGCAGCAGUGGGGAAUAUUGCACAAUGGGCGAAAGCCUGAUGCAGCGACGCCGCGUGAGGGAUGACGGCCUUCGGGUUGUAAACCUCUUUCAGCAGGGAAGAAGCGAAAGUGACGGUACCUGCAGAAGAAGCGCCGGCUAACUACGUGCCAGCAGCCGCGGUAAUACGUAGGGCGCGAGCGUUGUCCGGAAUUAUUGGGCGUAAAGAGCUCGUAGGCGGCUUGUCACGUCGGUUGUGAAAGCCCGGGGCUUAACCCCGGGUCUGCAGUCGAUACGGGCAGGCUAGAGUUCGGUAGGGGAGAUCGGAAUUCCUGGUGUAGCGGUGAAAUGCGCAGAUAUCAGGAGGAACACCGGUGGCGAAGGCGGAUCUCUGGGCCGAUACUGACGCUGAGGAGCGAAAGCGUGGGGAGCGAACAGGAUUAGAUACCCUGGUAGUCCACGCCGUAAACGGUGGGCACUAGGUGUGGGCGACUUUCCACGUCGUCCGUGCCGCAGCUAACGCAUUAAGUGCCCCGCCUGGGGAGUACCGCCGCAAGGCUAAAACUCAAAGAAAUUGAC
rnacentral:rRNA from 1 species